AAAAGUGAUUCUGCUGCUGUGGGUAAAGCCUCAGGCAGGCUGCUCCGGGAAGAGUGCCCACCUUCCCUCCCUGCCCUGGCGGUGGCCCUUAAAGCAGCCAGCCCCUGAAGCAGCUGCCAUGUCUGUGGCCGCAGGCAGCAACAUGCCAGCCCCGAGCUUUUCUCCUGCACUCCAGCUCAGCUUAUUUCUUGGGGAGUGGUGAAGUGCUCUGGCUGGUUUGGGGAAGCUAGCAGCCCCUCAUCAGGAUCCAGCAUCCAGUCUUCCCUGCUCCUCUCCGGCCUCCUGCCUCUCCUUGGGCUUGUUAUCAAGUGCCACUGGGAAAAAAGACAUUCGUGCCCCAUGUCCCUUACAGAAUAGACAUAUGGAUUCCACCAGUUCCCCAGCUCAGACCUAUCAACUCUCCCAGAGGAGCAUGAACCAUUUGCUUUCUUUACCAUCCCCGCGCUGCAAAACCCCAACAGGGUGAAAGAGAAUCAGCCGGGAGAAGAAACGCCAAUUACUCAGACAAGUUGCUGCGAGUCUGAGGUACAACAGAAAGAUUCAGAGCCUUUUCCACAGCCUUAGAGCAGCACUGCACAAGGCUGUUCUGUGACUGCUCCACACAGACUUACUUCAGAUUAUUUUAUCAUUUGGUGUGCAGUCAACAAGCAAAAUUUGCCAUGGUAACAACUGCAGCUUGAGAGCCGUUCCCAGCAGUGCCUUCUGAAGUCAGAGCACAGCUUCUUGGAGCUAGAUUCCUCCCCCUCCCCCUGCAUCCAAGGGGCCUUUGGAUUGAACAACGGAGGCAGGUUUUGGACCUUAAGGAUUACGACCACCAUCCACCGCUGCUUUCGCCUGGGUAUGUGGCCCUACGAAUGUGAUUUGAACACAGCAGUGCAUGCUUUCUGCUUACACACGUGCUUACCUUUACAUCAGUGAGACUUGAGCUGAAGAGGAAAGUUAAGCACAUGGUUAAAUGGAUUCCUGAAUCAGGGCCUCUGUUUCCAGAUAGCCCGAGGUGCUGAAUGAGUUUAAUUGGGUAAGGCACUGGACUGGGAGUCAUGACACUUUGGAUAUGUCUACACUAUGAAAUUAGGUCGAUUUUAUAGAAGUCGAUUUUUAGAAAUCAA
rnacentral:lncRNA from 1 species